rnacentral:misc_RNA from 1 species
GAUGAAGAACGUAGCGAAAUGCGAUAAGUAAUGUGAAUUGCAGAAUUCAGUGAAUCAUCGAAUCUUUGAACGCACCUUGCGCCCUUUGGACUUCUGAAGGGCAUGCCUGUUUGAGUAUCAUGAACACCUCAACUCCUUAUGGUCUUCCAUGAUGAGCUUGGACUUUGGGGGUUUUGCUGGCCUACAGUCAGCUCCUCUAAAAUAAAUCAGCUUACCGGUGUUUGGUGGGUAUCAUGGGUGUGAUAACUAUCUACGCUCGUGGUUUUCCACCAGGUAACCUUCAGCAGUGGAGGUUCACUGGAGCUCAUAGAUGACUCUCCUCAGCGAGGACAGCCCUUUGAAUGUUUGAUCUCAAAUCAGGUAGGACUACCCGCUGAACUUAAGCAUAUCAAUAAGCGGAGGA